GCAGACACAUUCCAGCCAAUCAGCAGCAGACCCUCCCUCCCAGGCCCUCCCACCUCCUGGACAGCAUCCAUUGUGAAGCUGCAUUCUUAGUGAGCUGUCCAGGAGGUGGGAGGGUCUGGGAGGGAGGGUCUGCUGCUGAUUGGCUGGAAUGCGUCUG